AUGUGAUGCCCACCAAGAAUGUGCUUGGGUGUAUAGUUGUGUGCAUAUUCAUUUCUCUAUAUGAAUAUGCAUAUACACGCAUGCAUACAAACUCACAUACAGGAAUGACAGUCAUAUAUCCUUUUGA
ensembl:miRNA Mir669i microRNA 669i